GCUUCUCAGACCAGUAAAAACCACCAAAAAUUCAAGAGAUAAACUCAAUUUUCUUUUCUUCAAUUCAUGCAUACAACAACAAAUUCUAGGAUGGAAGUUAAAGGAAUUUUUUUUGUAUUUGCAUUAAGAGUUCAGAUGAAGCAAGUUUUUGAAUCCUACAAAAAGUUUGCUUCAGCAUUGUUUUCGUUUUAACCAACAAAUGAGAAAAUAAUUCUCUCUCCCAAAUAAGGGGGGAAGGAAAAUUGCAAAUGCAACAAUAGGACGAAA
rnacentral:misc_RNA from 1 species